rnacentral:lncRNA from 1 species
CUUGCCAGAGAAGGACUCUUCCUUCUCUUCUGCGCCUAUAAUUCCAAGAGUCAUCACGUGACACGUGGAAAUAAAGGAACACGUCAAAAGAUGGUUAAGGAUUUUAAGAGAAGUAAAGGAGGACUCCUCUUCAUUAACGCACAAAAUAAAUGGGCGUGCCAUAUUUUUUUCUUGCAUGUGGUUAUGGCAUGGAAGAGGUUGAUUUCACAUGGAACUCUUCCAUAAAAAUCAGAUUAGCCAUCUAACAACUAGAUGGUUCAAACCCAAUCACAUUAGGUCAAGGCAACAAGUCAAGGAUUAGCACACACUCUUUUGCACUGAACCCAAUUGAAAAUUUGG